AUUGAACGCUGGCGGCAGGCCUAACACAUGCAAGUCGAGCGAGCGGAGGACGGGUGAGUAAUGUAUGGGGACUGCCCGAUAGAGGGGGAUAACUACUGGAAACGGUAGCUAAUACCGCAUACUAUCGGAUAACCCAUAUGGGAUUAGCUAGUAGGUGAGGUAAUGGCUCACCUAGGCGACGAUCCCUAGAUGGUCUGAGAGGAUGAUCAGCCAGUCUGGGACUGAGACACGGCCCAAACUCCUACGGGGGCAGCAGUGGGGAAUAUUGCGCAAUGUGCGCCAGCCUGAGGCAGCCAUGCCGCGUAUAUGAAUAAGGCCCUAGGGUUGUAAAGUACUUUCAGUCGGGAGGCGUUACCGACAGAAGAAGCACCGGCUAACUCCGUGCCAGCAGCCGCGGUAAUAC
rnacentral:rRNA from 1 species